AACGAACGCUGGCGGCAGGCCUAACACAUGCAAGUCGAACGAUGUAGCAAUACAUAGUGGUGCACGGGUGAGUAACGCGUGGGAAUGUACCAUUUGGUGGGGAAUAACUCCGGGAAACUGGAGCUAAUACCGCAUACGCCCUUCGGGGGAAAGAUUUAUCGCCAAAUGAUCAGCCCGCGUGAGAUUAGAUAGUUGGUGGGGUAAUGGCCUACCAAGUCUACGAUCUCUAGCUGGUCUCAGAGGAUGAUCAGCCACACUGGAACUGAGACACGGUCCAGACUCCUACGGGAGGCAGCAGUGGGGAAUAUUGGGCAAUGGGCGCAAGCCUGACCCAGCCAUGCCGCGUGAGUGAUGAAGGCUCUAGGGUUGUAAAGCUCUUUCGCCAAUGAAGAUAAUGACGGUAGUCGGAGAAGAAGCCCCGGCUAACUUCGUGCCAGCCGCCGCCGUAA
rnacentral:rRNA from 1 species